rnacentral:lncRNA from 1 species
CCCGACUGGAGGGGUGUCAACACCGCGCCACUGGUAAGGACAACUGUGAGUGACCCUUAUCUAGCAGGUACUCAAUGAGAAUGGUGGGAACCCUAAACUGACAAGUUAAGCCACCUCAUCAACCCUAAGCUGAUGGGUUAAGAUAUCUCAACCUACGCUGGCUAUGUAGUUCUGGAACACAAGGAUUUCUACUUAGAAUCACACCCUAAACUGGCGGGUGAGUUCCCAUCCUUGGGUUCACUCGGUGCUAACCUCUACUCCCAUCUGAAGGACACUAAACUGAAUAACUAAGCU